rnacentral:rRNA from 1 species
UACGUAGGGUGCAAGCGUUGUCCGGAAUUAUUGGGCGGAAAGAGCUCGUAGGCGGUUUGUCGCGUCGAAUGUGAAAUCCCGGGGCUCAACUCCGGGUCUGCAUUCGAUACGGGCAGACUAGAGUUCGGUAGGGGAGUCUGGAAUUCCUGGUGUAGCGGUGAAAUGCGCAGAUAUCAGGAGGAACACCGGUGGCGAAGGCGGGACUCUGGGCCGAUACUGACGCUGAGGAGCGAAAGCGUGGGGAGCGAACAGG